rnacentral:tRNA from 1 species
GGCUCAAUCGGUAGAGCAUGAGACUCUUGAACUCAGGGUCGUGAGUUCAAGCCCCAC